AUACGAAGGGGGCUAGCGUUGUUCGGAUUUACUGGGCGUAAAGCGCACGUAGGCGGAUUGACAAGUUAGGGGUGAAAUCCCGAGGCUCAACCUCGGAACUGCCUCUAAAACUGUCAAUCUCGAGACCGGAAGAGGUGAGUGGAACUCCUAGUGUAGAGGUGGAAUUCGUAGAUAUUAGGAAGAACACCAGUGGCGAAGGCGGCUCACUGGUCCGGUACUGACGCUGAGGUGCGAAAGCGUGGGGAGCGAACAGGAUUAGAAACCCUAGUAGUCC
rnacentral:rRNA from 1 species